UCGGACAUAGUGUAGCGUGAACACAGCCUCUCAUCUUAGACGGUAGUUUGAGUAACUUGAUGGAGGCAAUCCCGGGUUCGAGUCCCGGUGUCUGAG